UGCAAGUCGAACGGCAGCACAGAGGAGCUUGCUCCUUGGGUGGCGAGUGGCGGACGGGUGAGGAAUACAUCGGAAUCUACUUUUUCGUGGGGGAUAACGUAGGGAAACUUACGCUAAUACCGCAUACGACCUACGGGUGAAAGCAGGGGACCUUCGGGCCUUGCGCGAUUGAAUGAGCCGAUGUCGGAUUAGCUAGUUGGCGGGGUAAAGGCCCACCAAGGCGACGAUCCGUAGCUGGUCUGAGAGGAUGAUCAGCCACACUGGAACUGAGACACGGUCCAGACUCCUACGGGAGGCAGCAGUGGGGAAUAUUGGACAAUGGGCGCAAGCCUGAUCCAGCCAUACCGCGUGGGUGAAGAAGGCCUUCGGGUUGUAAAGCCCUUUUGUUGGGAAAGAAAUCCAGCUGGCUAAUACCCGGUUGGGAUGACGGUACCCAAAGAAUAAGCACCGGCUAACUUCGUGCCAGCAGCCGCGGUAAUACGAAGGGUGCAAGCGUUACUCGGAAUUACUGGGCGUAAAGCGUGCGUAGGUGGUCGUUUAAGUCCGUUGUGAAAGCCCUGGGCUCAACCUGGGAACUGCAGUGGAUACUGGGCGACUAGAGUGUGGUAGAGGGUAGCGGAAUUUCCUGGUGUAGCAGUGAAAUGCGUAGAGAUCAGAGGAACAUCCAUGGGCGAAGGCAGCUACCUGGACCAACACUGACACUGAGGCACGAAAGCGGUGGGGAGCAAACAGAUUAGAUACCCUGGUAGUCCACGCCCUAACGAUGCGAACUGGAUGGUGGGUGCAAAUUUGGCACGCAGUAUCGAAGCUACGCGUUAGGUUCGCGGCCUGGGGGAGU
rnacentral:rRNA from 1 species